AACGAACGCUGGCGGCAGGCCUAACACAUGCAAGUCGAGCGAACCCUUCGGGGUUAGCGGCGGACGGGUUAGUAACGCGUGGGAAUAUACCCUUUGGUACGGAAUAGCCUCGGGAAACUGAGAGUAAUACCGUAUGUGCCCUUCGGGGGAAAGAUUUAUCGCCAAAGGAUUAGCCCACGUCCGAUUAGCUAGUUGGUAGGGUAAAGGCCUACCAAGGCCACGAUCGGUAGCUGGUCUGAGGGGAUGAUCAGCCACACUGGGACUGAGACACGGCCCAGACUCCUACGGGAGGCAGCAGUGGGGAAUAUUGGACAAUGGGCGCAAGCCUGAUCCAGCAAUGCCGCGUGUGUGAAGAAGGCCUGCGGGUUGUAAAGCACUUUCAGUGGGGAAGAACAGAUUCGGGUCAAUACCCCGGAGCCCUGACGUUACCCACAGAAGAAGCACCGGCUAACUCCGUG
rnacentral:rRNA from 1 species